UAAGAGACCUUAAAAUUCUUUGUGC
rnacentral:piRNA from 1 species